rnacentral:rRNA from 1 species
AUUGCCCUAGUAACGGCGAGUGAAGCGGCAACAGCUCAAAUUUGAAAUCUGGCUCUCGGGCCCGAGUUGUAAUUUGUAGAGGAUACUUUUGAUGCGGUGCCUUCCGAGUUCCCUGGAACGGGACGCCAUAGAGGGUGAGAGCCCCGUCUGGUUGGAUGCCAAAUCUCUGUAAAGUUCCUUCGACGAGUCGAGUAGUUUGGGAAUGCUGCUCUAAAUGGGAGGUAUAUGUCUUCUAAAGCUAAAUACCGGCCAGAGACCGAUAGCGCACAAGUAGAGUGAUCGAAAGAUGAAAAGCACUUUGAAAAGAGAGUUAAAAAGUACGUGAAAUUGUUGAAAGGGAAGCGUUUAUGACCAGACUUGGGCUUGGUUAAUCAUCUGGGGUUCUCCCCAGUGCACUUUUCCAGUCCAGGCCAGCAUCAGUUUUCCCCGGGGGAUAAAGACUUCGGGAAUGUGGCUCUCUUCGGGGAGUGUUAUAGCCCGUUGUGUAAUACCCUGGGGGGGACUGAGGUUCGCGCAUCUGCAAGGAUGCUGGCGUAAUGGUCAUCAACGACCCGUCUUGAAACACGGACCAAGGAGUCGUCUUCGUAUGCGAGUGUUCGGGUGUCAAACCCCUACGCGUAAUGAAAGUGAACGCANGUGAGAGCUUCGGCGCAUCAUCGANCGAUCCUGAUGUUCUCGGAUGGAUUUGAGUAANAGCAUACGGGGCCGGACCCGAAAGAAGGUGAACUAUGCCUGU